CUUUGGAUAACUCCCACUGCCUGGUCAUGCGGCAUCCCUCUAGGUAGCGUAGGCGCCACUCCUCCCAGGUCGUGCGCAUGCAUGGCUUGCAGCCGUUGUAACCAACACCACAGCGUGUAUAUAUGUGUACUCUCUGAUGCAAUACAAUCAUCAAUCUCAGCGCAUCAUUCUCUAGUUGAGCAAGCAUCAAGCAUCACCGAAGCCAUUUCGGUCGAACAAAUAGCACCUUGAUGACGGCUAAUAAGGUCAUGGUCCACUGGAGCGGAUCCACAGGUGACAUGAUCUCUCCGUGCAAUAAUAAUAUUUGCAAUACAUCGAUCAAUCCUUUGGUUAGCAAAAAAGAAUCCAAUUGCAACGUGACAUGUUGCAUGCAUGAUUGCAGGUCGCAUGUGAUUGGUUGGAUAUAUGGCCAAAUGGGGCACAUGCCACAUGAGGAUGGGGAUGUGCAGCAGAUGCGAUCGCCAUAUCGGAUCUGUCCCCCGCCGUCGAAAAUGACGUUUAGCUAAUUAAUCAUCUACUCUCUUUUUCCUUGAGAUUUUUUUAAACAGAGUACAAUCAAAGUCGCUCACAUAUACUGAGCGUACACUCAUCUCUAUUAACGCAUGUACGCACACUCUAUCCCUAUGGUUUUGCAUGCAAGCACCAAUGUCAAGUCUGAAACUUAUAUUCUAGUGGACACGGGAUAUCAGGAUUGGUUUGCCUCUUUUUCCUUGAGAUAGAGGGUAGUUCCAUCGGCCACCAUCGUUGAUUCAAGGAAGAGUUUUAGAGUAUCUACAGUAGUAAUUAACUUGCAAAUUCGGCCUCUUAAGACAUUCACAGACAUUAAUCGAUCGCACCUUAAAUAAUGUAUUCUAUAACUG
rnacentral:lncRNA from 1 species